rnacentral:tRNA from 1 species
AUGUUGAGAGUAUGACUAGUACAACUGCCUUCCAAGCAGGAAGAUCCAAAUUCAGGUCAACAUA